GUGCCGCAGUUAACGCGUUAAGCAUUCCGCCUGGGAAGUACAACCGCAAGGUUAAAACUCAAAUGAAUUGGCGGGGACCCGCACAAGCGGAGGAGCGCGUGGUUUAAUUCGAUGGCAAUCGAAGAACCUUACCAGGGUUUGACAUGUAUCUGCAUGCCUCUAGAGAUAGAGGAGGCCUUCGAGGGUGAUACACAGGUGCUGCAUGGCCGUCGUCAGCUCGUGUCGUGAGAUGUAGGGUUAAGUCCCGAAACGAGCGCAACCCCCAUCCUAUGUUACAAGUGUCUUAGGAAACUGCCUCGGUAAAACGGGGAGGAAGGAGGGGAUGACGUCUGGUCCGCAUAGCCCUUAUGUCCUGGGCUACACACGCGCUACAAUGGUCGGUACAACGGGGAGCCAAACCGCAAGGUGGAGCUAAUCCUUCAAAACCGAUCUCAGUUCGAAUUGUGGGCUGAAAUUCGCCCACAUGAAGUUGGAUUCGCUAGUAAUCGCAGAUCAGCCAUGCUGCGGUGAAUACGUUCUCGGGUCUUGCACACACCGCCCGUCAAGCCACGGAAGUAGGUAUACUCGAAGGUG
rnacentral:rRNA from 1 species